GAUAAAAUCUUGUAAGAGUUCUCAAUCUGCUCUUCUCUCUAAGUUGUGAAUCUUUUGCAGCAGGGUGGGGUAUCAAAUUUCAGGAGGCAACAAUCCUAUCAUGUCUUGGUCAAAGAACGCAUCCAUUGGUUUAAUUGAAUGGACAUUAUCAAACAAAAUCGCAUAAAUUUACAGAAAUAGAAAUCGAAAAAUUAGAAAGAAAAUAAGCAAUUGUCAUUUGUGUAAACUUUCAAUAUAUCUCUGGUAAUCGAAUUGGGUCGGACUGGGUUUUGACCUAAUUCAUUCAUAGGUCAUUUACUUGGGGUAAUCAUAAAUCCACUAGGAUUAGAAACCCUAUCUGGCCAAAUCCUUAUAAAUAAGAGGUUUGGCCACAACAAAGCAAGGUUUUGGACCUAAUCUCAUUCCCUCGCUAUUCUCCUAUGUUCCUUCCAAUUGAGAGAGCAUGUGUCUCCAAGGAUUUCUAUUGCAAUCUUUGGAUUUGGAAGAUGAAACUUUGUCGACCAAGUCGUUGCAAUCUUUCAUUCAUCACUGUUUAUGCAGAUCAAUGCGUGAUGCAAUUAGAUCCAUUCUACAGCGAGGAAAGCUCCAUUGAGGUACAUCAUAACAACAGCAGCAGCGGCAUUGACAUCGGCAGCGGCUUAUCUUUGCAAAACCCAUGGGAUUCCCGCUGCUUUUCCCAACACCAAACGCGCAUGGUAUUGGUCACGAACUCGGGCGGCCCUGUAUUCUCUCCUCGCGCCCUCCUAUGAGCCGCGCAUGGACCAUGGUAAAAAUUAAGUCCAUAAGACUGAGAAGGAAUUAGCCAUGUGGAUGAUUAUUCAAGUGUCAAAUGAUAAUUGUUUAUUUUCUUGUAAUUAAUGAAUUUUUUGUAUCGCUCAAUGGAAUAUACAAUUUUUAUAAGGAGGUUGGGUUGUAAGUAUUGCCACCAG